rnacentral:tRNA from 1 species
CCAAGAAAUGAAAUAUUUUCAUGUAUGGUUUCGACCCAUAAUUUGGUAUUUUUUUACCCUUGUG